AUACGUAGGGGGCGAGCGUUAAUGGGAAUUACUGGGCGUAAAGCGUGCGCAGGCGGUUAUGUAAGACAGAUGUGAAAUCCCCGGGCUCAACCUGGGAACUGCAUUUGUGACUGCAUAGCUAGAGUACGGCAGAGGGGGAUGGAAUUCCGCGUGUAGCAGGGAAAUGCGUAGAUAUGCGGAGGAACACCGAUGGCGAAGGCAAUCCCCUGGGCCUGUACUGACGCUCAUGCACGAAAGCGUGGGGAGCAAACAGGAUUAGAAACCCUAGUAGUCC
rnacentral:rRNA from 1 species